CGAUACCACUAGGGGGGCCUUUUUUAAGGCUGAGAUAGGUUUGUCCUGACCCUUGGACCUGAUCUGGUUAGUACCAGCGGAGGAAAUGUGGCAGAAGUGAAGG
rnacentral:ncRNA from 2 species